AGCAGCAGCUGUAAUACGUAGGUGCAUGCGUAUCCUGGAUUUAUGGGCGUCAAGCGAGCGCAGGCGGUUUUUUAAGUCUGAUGUGCAAGCCCUCGACUCACCGAGGAAGCGCAUCGGGAAACUGGGAAACUUGAGUGCAGAAGACGACAGUGGAACUCCAUGUGUAGCGAUGAAAUGCGUAGAUAUAUGGAAGAACACCAGUGGCGAAGGCGGCUGUCUGGUCUGUAACUGACGCUGAGGCUCGAAAGCAUGGGUAGCGAACAGGAUUAGAUACCCUGGUAGUCCAUGCCGUAAACGAUGAAUGCUAGGUGUUGGAGGGUUUCCGCCCUUCAGUGCCGCAGCUAACGCAUUAAGCAUUCCGCUUGGGGAGUACGACCGCAAGGUUGAAACUCAAAGGAAUUGACGGGGGCCCGCACAAGCGGUGGAGCAUGUGGUUUAAUUCGAAGCAACGCGAAGAACCUUACCAGGUCUUGACAUCUUUUGAUCACCUGAGAGAUCAGGUUUCCCCUUCGGGGGCAAAAUGACAGGUGGUGCAUGGUUGUCGUCAGCUCGUGUCGUGAGAUGUUGGGUUAAGUCCCGCAACGAGCGCAACCCUUAUGACUAGUUGCCAGCAUUUAGUUGGGCACUCUAGUAAGACUGCCGGUGACAAACCGGAGGAAGGUGGGGAUGACGUCAAAUCAUCAUGCCCCUUAUGACCUGGGCUACACACGUGCUACAAUGGAUGGUACAACGAGUUGCGAGACCGCGAGGUCAAGCUAAUCUCUUAAAGCCAUUCUCAGUUCGGACUGUAGGCUGCAACUCGCCUACACGAAGUCGGAAUCGCUAGUAAUCGCGGAUCAGCACGCCGCGGUGAAUACGUUCCCGGGCCUUGUACACACCGCCCGUCACACCAUGAGAGUUUGUAACACCCGAAGCCGGUGGCGUAACCCUUUUAGGGAGCGGAGCCGUCUAAAGGUGGGACAAAUGAUUAGGGUGAAGUCGUAAC
rnacentral:rRNA from 1 species